UAGAGCCAAAUCUUUUGUGGAAGCUGGGUGU
rnacentral:piRNA from 1 species